UCAAGCCACAGCACUGAACGUCAUCAGAAAAUCAGGAAGAGGGUCCGCAGGAGUGUAUAGCACCGUUUCAAGAAAAUGUGCUGAACACUUUAUACUCUGUUAAUUAGACAGGGGAAUCGUAUUGUCUGAGUUUUGUAUAUAGAUAUAUAAAGCUAGCUAGCGCAAGAUAAGAGAGAAAAUAACUCGCUAGAGAGUAAACCAACGACUAGGGAGUUAGCAUAGCUGACGUAAGUUAGCUGUGUAAAAAAAGCAAUCAGAUCAUGUCCGAGUCUAACAACGCUGGUGAGAUGUCAAAUCCGCAACUUAUUCAGCAGAUGGCCUUGCUGAACUGGCUUCAUUCAGACAGCCCAGAGAGUAAAGAGGUACUCCGGGCGGUGACCGGUGUACAGGUGGCACGAGAGGUCUUCAAUAGGCUUACUGGACAAAGCCGAGUGGACACAUACAAGAGGGAGUGUAUCCUGAGUGUGGCAGAUUUUGUGAAGAGGAACCCCCAGGCCUUGCCGGAGCAGGUCAAUGCUGAAGUGGGAGAAGCAGGUUCUGCUAUUUGCGGCUCGGGUGCGGGCACUGGACUCUGCCCCACUCCUCUGAAUUGUUCCUUCUUAACCUCUAAAACCAUUUUUGUGGUGAUUUGUGGCCUUAAAACUCAGAUGAGAUCUGAAAACAGAAGAAAAUACUAUAAUAAUAUAAGAAAAAUAUUUCCUUUUUCCUGUUGUACAUCCUCUUUUACUCCUGUUUUGUUGGUAGUAUGGUACAUUAAGAAUGUUUGGACAGUAGAUUAACACUUAUCUUACAUCUGCAGUUAGUCAUAAAGUUGUUAAACUCUGCAAACUGCACAAGAGUAGGCUUUGAAUUCCUGUGGAACUUAGUAUUUGGCAUGCUCACCACCCUAAGACAAACAUUGGCAGACAUCUGGGAUACCAAAAUAAUAUAGUUAUAUUUCUAGCUAUCAGUUCCACUUCUUGGUGAAUAAUUGUGGAUUUAUUUGUUGUACACUGUUCCAGUUCAUUUUCUUCCCCAAAUACAAUGUGUAUCAUAUUUUUACGCUAUACUUUUAAAUAUCUUCCCAUGCUGUGGAGUUUAAAUAUCCGAUCUUGUAAUUCAUAUGGUGCAGGAUCUAUUUCCAGGUGGAUACUCUGUUGUUGUUAUAAAAGACUUAAACCUGUAUUGCUCCCACUGUAAAUGAAUAGGUUGAAAU